rnacentral:rRNA from 1 species
AGCAGCCGCGGUAAUUCCAGCUCCAAUAGCGUAUAUUAAAGUUGUUGCAGUUAAAAAGCUCGUAGUUGAAUUUCGGGAUCAGUGGGUCGGUCGUGCCACUGGUAUGUACUGGCCCUACUGGUUCCUCCUUCUUGAAGAACUGUAAUGCCAUUAAUUUGGUGUUGCAGGGAAACAGGACUGUUACUUUGAAAAAAUUAGAGUGUUUAAAGCAGGCAAUCGCUUGAAUACAUUAGCAUGGAAUAAUGAAAUAGGACGUUCGAUCCUAUUUUGUUGGUUUCUAGGAUUGACGUAAUGAUUAAUAGGGAUAGUUGGGGGCAUUAGUAUUCAAUUGUCAGAGGUGAAAUUCUUGGAUUUAUUGAAGACUAACUACUGCGAAAGCAUUUGCCAAGGAUGUUUUCAUUAAUCAAGAACGAAAGUUAGGGGAUCGAAGACGAUCAGAUACCGUCGUAG